rnacentral:rRNA from 1 species
UUGCAGAGGAUGCUUCGGGAGCGGCCCCCAUCUAAGUGCCCUGGAACGGGCCGUCAUAGAGGGUGAGAAUCCCGUCUGGGAUGGGGUGCCCGCGCCCGUGUGAAGCUCCUUCGACGAGUCGAGUUGUUUGGGAAUGCAGCUCUAAAUGGGUGGUAAAUUUCAUCUAAAGCUAAAUACUGGCCGGAGACCGAUAGCGCACAAGUAGAGUGAUCGAAAGAUGAAAAGCACUUUGAAAAGAGAGUUAAACAGCACGUGAAAUUGUUGAAAGGGAAGCGCUUGCGACCAGACUCGCCCACGGGGUUCAGCCGGCAUUCGUGCCGGUGUACUUCCCCGCGGGCGGGCCAGCGUCGGUUUGGGCGGCCGGUCAAAGGCCCUCGGAAUGUAACGCCCCCCGGGGCGUCUUAUAGCCGAGGGUGCCAUGCGGCCAGCCCGGACCGAGGAACGCGCUUCGGCUCGGACGCUGGCAUAAUGGUCGUAAGCGACCCGUCUUGA